rnacentral:rRNA from 1 species
CCUACGGGUGGCUGCAGUAGGGAAUAUUGCUCAAUGGGGGAAACCCUGAAGCAGCAACGCCGCGUGGAGGAUGCAUGUUUUCGGAUUGUAAACUCCUUUUGUUAGAGCGGAUAAUGACGGUACCUAACGAAUAAGCACCGGCUAACUCCGUGCCAGCAGCCGCGGUAAUACGGAGGGUGCAAGCGUUACCCGGAAUCACUGGGCGUAAAGAGCGCGUAGGCGGGAUAGCAAGUCAGAUGUGAAAUCCUAUGGCUUAACCAUAGAACUGCAUUUGAAACUGUUAUUCUAGAGUAUGGGAGAGGUAGGUGGAAUUCUUGGUGUAGGGGUAAAAUGCGUAGAGAUCAAGAGGAAUACUGAUUGCGAAGGCGACCUACUGGAACAUAACUGACGCUGAUGAGCGAAAGCGUGGGGAGCAAACAGGAUUAGAUACCCUUGUAGUC